rnacentral:rRNA from 1 species
UACAGAGGUCUCAAGCGUUGUUCGGAUUCAUUGGGCGUAAAGGGCGCGUAGGCGGCGGUGUAAGUUGGAAGUGAAAUCCCAUCGGCUCAACCGUGGAAUUGCUCCCAGUACUGCAUCGCUCGAGGGGGAUAGGGGUCUGCGGAACUACCGGUGGAGCGGUGAAAUGUGUUGAUAUCGGUGGGAACGCCAGUGGCGAAAGCGGCAGACUAGACCCUUCCUGACGCUGAUGCGCGAAAGCUAGGGGAGCAAACAGG